rnacentral:lncRNA from 1 species
GAUCCUCUACUUCGCGUGUAUGCCAAAUACUGUAGGAGAGAGGAAUGAACUCUUUUUUUGAAGAGAAAGGAGAGGAACACUUGAGAUUUGAUCUCAAAUCUUUAGAAUAGCCCACAUGCCACCACAAAGAGAGAGAGAAAGCCAAGAGGAGAGAGAUGCCUAGUGCUAGGUGAUGCCCAAGAGAGCGGGGAUGCCCACACCAGGCGAUCUCCAUAUCAAGCCUUUGAUUGAUUUUUUUUUUCCUUCUCCACACCCCUUUUUAUAUAUACAAGAGGUCCUAAAUCAAAUCAAACUCCUUUGGAGAAUAGGAAAAGGACUCUCCAUGUUUGAAUUAAAUCUAAACUCCAUAAAAUACAAAGAUUCCUAAUGUGAGCAGG